UGCUUAAAUAGCACCAGCACUUUCAGAGACAACAAAAUAUGGUUCAGGUCUAAUAACGGAAGUCAUGGAAAAUCACUGCACUACUUAGUCUUUGACCAGCUAGAGAAAAUAUUGGAUCUGAAAGUAUAUAAAUUAGCUCCAGUGUUCCAUUAGUAUAUAUUAGCAUCAGUAAUCAGAAACCUAAAAAAGAAGUUUAAUGGAAAAAAUGAAGGUCCUGGAGAUGCAAAAAUGAAAACAAAAUAGUCCUUUCCCCCAAGGAACUGAAAGUCUAAGGAGAAUAACAAACAGAACAAGAUUCUGGAUGAACAUAGCACCAUGACUCCCAGAAAGUUCUGAACAGGGUGGAAGGAUGAAGAGGAUUUUCCACAGCCCCCUGCUUGAGGCACAGGCAGGGGCUGUUCCAGAACAAAGAUGAAGACCGAGUCCUCUCAUUGGAAGAAGAUGUUCACCUCAGUGGCUUCUACAAGCAGAACAGGUCCCUUUCUCAAUGAGGAUGCUCUUGUAGGCAACACUUUAAAGUAGGACCCUUACUUCAACCCCAUUUGAUUCUCUUUCUGCAGCCUUUUCCCCUCUCUAAGUAGACUGAGUCGCCAUGGACCUCAUUUCUUUCUUCUCACAACAAGGAGGCCCUGCUUAGGAAAAUAUUGUGAUAAAUAGAUUCAUCCAACCAUUUAUUGGACAAAUAUUACUGAGCUCCAACAAGGUGCCAGGUUGAGAAAUAAGUGAUGGAUCAGGCAUUAUUCCUCCAAGGUCUAACUGGUUAAAGUGUGUGCCCCAUCACUAAUGGAUCAGGUGUCAAUAACCAGGCCUCCCAAGCAUGACUGAGGCCGUGCCACAAAUCACUGAAGCCUCACAAGACAAUUUCUAUUCCUGUCUUGGACCAGAUCAGCUGUGCCCAGGUCAUACUGAGAUUAUUUUUCUGGAAAAUAGUCAGCUCUUCUCCAUUUCAUUGUCACACAGGCAUGAACAAAGAUCCCGGCCCAGGCGUCGUGGUACAAUUGCAUUAAUAUUUGGGUUGGGGGUAAGUACAAAGGAGUGGAGAACCAUAGAAGGUGACAAGUGAGUGCAGAAACAACACAAUGAACAGCAGCAAGCCAGCCUGUGCAAAGCCAAUGGCAGGACACCCAUCAGCAAAUGUGGCCUCUGUGACCUUCCAAAGUAUGUUGUAAUUGGGUGGAUUUCUGGGUGAGUAUAUUGGAAAAACCAAACUGCUUUUCCUCUGAUGUUGUACCACAACCAUCAAUAAAGAAAACUUCUGUG
rnacentral:lncRNA from 1 species